rnacentral:snRNA from 1 species
CUCGGCCUUUUGGCUAAGGUCAAGUGUAGUAUC